UACGGAGGGUGCAAGCGUUAUCCGGAUUCACUGGGUUUAAAGGGUGCGUAGGCGGGCUUGUAAGUCAGUGGUGAAAUCUCCGGGCUCAACUCGGAAACUGCCAUUGAUACUAUAAGUCUUGAAUUAUCUGGAGGUAAGCGGAAUAUGUCAUGUAGCGGUGAAAUGCUUAGAUAUGACAUAGAACACCCAUUGCGAAGGCAGCUUACUACGGGUAUAUUGACGCUGAGGCACGAAAGCGUGGGGAUCAAACAGG
rnacentral:rRNA from 1 species